rnacentral:lncRNA from 1 species
GGCCGCGACCGGGCAGAGACCGCCGGAGUCGCCGCCGGAGAGGAGUCGACUCGCCAGCCGCCGCCAGCGAGGCCCGCCCACCCGUUUGUCUGGCCCUCUGCCCCGUUCACCAUGCAGCCUGCUUCUGCAAAGUGGUACGAUCGAAGGGACUAUGUAUUCAUUGAAUUUUGUGUUGAAGACAGUAAAGAUGUUAAUGUAAACUUUGAAAAAUCCAAACUUACUUUCAGUUGUCUUGGAGGAAGCGAUAAUUUUAAGCAUUUAAAUGAAAUUGAUCUUUUUCAUUGUAUCGAUCCAAAUGAUUCCAAGCAUAAAAGAACAGACAGAUCGAUUUUAUGUUGUUUGCGAAAAGGAGAAUCCGGCCAGUCAUGGCCUAGGUUAACAAAGGAAAGGGCAAAGCUUAAUUGGCUCAGUGUGGACUUCAAUAAUUGGAAAGACUGGGAGGAUGACUCAGAUGAAGACAUGUCGAAUUUUGACCGUUUCUCUGAGAUGAUGGAUCACAUGGGUGGUGAUGAGGAUGUAGAUUUACCAGAAGUAGAUGGAGCAGAUGAUGAUUCACAAGACAGUGAUGAUGAAAAGAUGCCAGAUCUGGAGUAAGGGCUGUUGUCAUCGCCUGGAUUUUGAGAAAGGAAAAUAACUUCUGCAAGAUUUCACAAUUGAGAAAACCCCUGAGUCGAUAGCUCUAAAGGCAGAUAUGCUGUACUUGCCUCCUCUAACCCAGUUGUCAACCUUUUUUUUUCUUUUUCUUUUUUUUUCUUUUUUUUUUUUUUUUGAAAGGCUUCACUAAGGGUUGAUUAUGUACCAUUGUGUGGGGCGAUUUAAGUCAGCUAAGGCAGUAUCCUUAUGCAUGAACAUUUCCCAGGAUUCCAUGAGGCAGCUGAUCCUAGGCAACUGCUCCAGCAGCUCGGACAAAUAAUUGCAUUUCAUCUAAGUCUUUCAUCAUAACACAAUUACUUACACAUUAGGAAAGCUCUCAGCUUAGGGAAAGAUGAAAGUUUUAGAUCCUAGACCAUGGAUUUAAAGGAGGCGGAAACAAAUUGGCUAAUACCUUAAACUGAUACCCUGCCAUUCUUUCAGGAUACCUUUCAAAAUUAUUCCACUAAAGUUUAUUUUUCAAAAAAAAAAAAUGUACUUUACAUCAUUGUAUGUGAUCACUUGUCAGUGUUCAGGUGUAUUUUAGCAAAAACUAGUGGAUGCCCUAACUUAGAUGGUUUUUGAAGCCUAUACAUUUGGUAUUGUUUGGCCCUUAAGCUUUUACAUCUCUUAGCAUGGAGGACAAAGAAAGCUGUACAUUGUUGCUUGAGAGUAUGUACAUUUUAGACCAGAUUUGUAUUUGCACAGUCAGUAUGGCAAAUGAGUGGACAAUGUUAAAUACACUAUUGGAUUUUUUUUUAUUUUCUGUUUUGAUUUCAGCUUAUGCCCUGGCUGGAAAACCUCAAUUUAUGUUCAUGACAGUGGGGAUUUUUUUAAAUGUCUACAUUCUUUCUAAUAAACUGUUGGAAGAUUU